GUUUUUAUGUACGAUUGCCUGAGCUGAAGACAAGACUUUCGCUGUAUGCAUAUUUAAAAUAUGACGUCACCCACACAGAGUGAGAGUUUUAGUUUUUCUUUGAAAGUUUGAUGGAAAAUGUACAGCGAGACUUGUCGCAGUUAAUGUAGUACCAAAUGCUUGCUUUCUUGGAGUAUGUGCUUGAAACAAGAAUGUCCUGGAGAAAACAGACCACUACAAGAUAAGACAUACAUGUACAGUAUGGACUAUGAAGUUCUACUUAGCCUCUUCAAUGAACUGCUGGAGCUGCGACUGGGUAUCAAAACCAUGGUAUCAUAAACCUCAUAACCAGUGGCGGAGAUAUGUUGUUAGCCAGGGGGGAGGGGUCAGUGCCCCCCCCCCCCACUUUUUCAAGUACCCCCUAAAUGCCCCUUU